rnacentral:rRNA from 1 species
AUUGAACGCUGGCGGCAGGCCUACCACAUGCAAGUCGAACGAGUGGCGGACGGGUGAGUAAUUUCUGGGAAACUGCCUGAUGGAGGGGGAUAACUACUGUAACCGGUAGCUAAUACCGCAUACCAUCUGAUGUGCCCAGAUGGGAUGAGCUAGUAGGUGGGGUAAAGGCUCACCUAGGCGACGAUCCCUAGCUGGUCUGCGAGGAUGACCAGCCAAACUUGAACUGAGACACGGUCCAGACUCCUACGGGAGGCAGCAGUGGGGAAUAUUGCACAAUGGGCGCAAGCCUGAUGCAGCCAUGCCGCGGGUAUGAAGAAGGCCUUCGGGUUGUAAAAUACUUUCAGCGGGGAGGCGUUACCCGCAGAAGAAGCACCGGCUAACUCCGUGCCAGCAGCCGCGGUAAUAC